UGGGGAAUAUUGCACAAUGGGCGCAAGCCUGAUGCAGCCAUGCCGCGUGUAUGAAGAAGGCCUUCGGGUUGUAAAGUACUUUCAGUCGGGAGGAAGGUGGUAAGGUUAAUAACCUUGGCAAUUGACGUUACCGACAGAAGAAGCACCGGCUAACUCCGUGCCAGCAGCCGCGGUAAUACGGAGGGUGCAAGCGUUAAUCGGAAUUACUGGGCGUAAAGCGCACGCAGGCGGUUGAUUGAGUCAGAUGUGAAAUCCCCGGGCUUAACCCGGGAAUUGCAUCUGAUACUGGGCAGCUAGAGUCUUGUAGAGGGGGGUAGAAUUCCAUGUGUAGCGGUGAAAUGCGUAGAGAUGUGGAGGAAUAACGGUGGCGAAGGCGGCCCCCUGGACAAAGACUGACGCUCAGGUGCGAAAGCGUGGGGAGCAAACAGG
rnacentral:rRNA from 1 species